ensembl:snoRNA SNORA5A small nucleolar RNA SNORA5
UGCAGCUGUGUCAAAUUCAGUGCCUGCCCCACCCAUGGCAGGCACUGGCCCAAAAGGCUGCCAUAGAAACACUGUAACUCAUGGGCCCUGUUCCCUCCCCUGGGCAUCAGGGAUAAAUUUUGUUACAGACACCA